AUUGAAGGCUGAAAUUCGCCUUCAUGAAGCUGGAAUUGCUAGUAAUGGCAGGUCAGCAUACUGCCGUGAAUACGUUCCCGGGCCUUGUACACACCGCCCGUCACACCAUGAGAGUUGGAAAUACCCGAAGCCUGUGAGCUAACUGUAAAGAGGCAGCAGUCGAAGGUAGAGCCAAUGAUUGGGGUGAAGUCGUAACAAGGUAGC
rnacentral:rRNA from 1 species